AAGAUUAAUACCGGAUGGCAUACGAAUAUCGCAUGAUAUUUUUAUUAAAGAAUUUCGGUUAUCGAUGGGGAUGCGUUCCAUUAGUUUGUUGGCGGGGUAACGGCCCACCAAGACUACGAUGGAUAGGGGUUCUGAGAGGAAGGUCCCCCACAUUGGAACUGAGACACGGUCCAAACUCCUACGGGAGGCAGCAGUGAGGAAUAUUGGUCAAUGGGCGCGAGCCUGAACCAGCCAAGUAGCGUGAAGGAUGAAGGCUCUAUGGGUCGUAAACUUCUUUUAUAUGGGAAUAAAGUUUUCCACGUGUGGAAUUUUGUAUGUACCAUAUGAAUAAGGAUCGGCUAACUCCGUGCCAGCAGCCGCGGUAAUACGGAGGAUCCGAGCGUUAUCCGGAUUUAUUGGGUUUAAAGGGAGCGUAGGUGGAUUGUUAAGUCAGUUGUGAAAGUUUGCGGCUCAACCGUAAAAUUGCAGUUGAAACUGGCAGUCUUGAGUACAGUAGAGGUGGGCGGAAUUCGUGGUGUAGCGGUGAAAUGCUUAGAUAUCACGAAGAACUCCGAUUGCGAAGGCAGCUCACUAGACUGUUACUGACACUGAUGCUCGAAAGUGUGGGUAUCAAACAGGAUUAGA
rnacentral:rRNA from 1 species